rnacentral:rRNA from 1 species
AAUAUUCGACAAUGGGGGCAACCCUGAUCCAGCCAUGCCGCGUGUGUGAAGAAGGUCUUCUGAGUGUAAUGCACUUUAAGGUGGGAGGAAGGGCUUGAGGUUAAUACCCUGAAGUUUUGACGUUACCAACAGAAUAAGCACCGUCUAACUCUGCUCCCGCAGCCGCGGUAAUACAGAGGGUGCAAGUGUUAAUCGGAAUUACUGGGCGUAAAUCGCGCGUAGGUGGUUCAGUAAGAUGGGUGUGAAAUCCCCGGGCUUAACCUGGGAACUGCUUUCAUAACUGCUGAGCUAGAGUACGGUAGAGGGUAGUGGAAUUUCCUGUGUAGCGGUGAAAUGCGUAGAUAUAGGAAGGAACACCAGUGGCGAAGGCGACUACCUGGACUGAUACUGACACUGAGGUGCGAAAGCGUGGGGAGCAAAC